GGAGCGUGGCUAUGCACUGUUAUGUUCCGCCUAUCCCUGAUCAGAUUGUACUAUUAAAACCAUUCCUGAGGAUGAACUGCUGUCUCUGCAACUAGCAUCUGCUAAUGACUGAAAGGUUCCAUAGCAACGAAACAACAGACGGUUGUUGGGCAACUACUGAGUGACCUGGUGCCUGCAACACGCAAAUUGAAAAGAUGGGAACGUAAAUGUGAAGAUCCA